rnacentral:rRNA from 1 species
GCCAGCAGCCAUAUCACCCUGGAGCCCAAGACCGGUUGCCCACUGAAGCUAAGCAGGGCUGAGCCUGGUUAGUACCUGGAUGGGAGACCUCCUGAGAAAACUAGGUUGCUGCUGGAA